AGAGUUUGAUCCUGGCUCAGAUUGAACGCUGGCGGAAUGCUUUACACAUGCAAGUCGAACGGCAGCACGGGUGCUUGCACCUGGUGGCGAGUGGCGAACGGGUGAGUAAUGCGUCGGAACGUACCGAGUAAUGGGGGAUAACGCAGCGAAAGUUGUGCUAAUACCGCAUACGCCCUGAGGGGGAAAGUGGGGGAUCGUAAGACCUCACGUUAUUCGAGCGGCCGACGUCUGAUUAGCUAGUUGGUGAGGUAAUGGCUCACCAAGGCGACGAUCAGUAGCGGGUCUGAGAGGAUGAUCCGCCACACUGGGACUGAGACACGGCCCAGACUCCUACGGGAGGCAGCAGUGGGGAAUUUUGGACAAUGGGGGCAACCCUGAUCCAGCCAUUCCGCGUGAGUGAAGAAGGCCUUCGGGUUGUAAAGCUCUUUCAGCAGGAACGAAACGGUACGCUCUAACAUAGUGUGCUAAUGACGGUACCUGCAGAAGAAGCACCGGCUAACUACGUGCCAGCAGCCGCGGUAAUACGUAGGGUGCGAGCGUUAAUCGGAAUUACUGGGCGUAAAGCGUGCGCAGGCGGAUUGUUAAGCAAGAUGUGAAAUCCCCGGGCUUAACCUGGGAAUGGCAUUUUGAACUGGCAGUCUAGAGUGUGUCAGAGGGGGGUGGAAUUCCACGUGUAGCAGUGAAAUGCGUAGAGAUGUGGAGGAACACCGAUGGCGAAGGCAGCCCCCUGGGAUAACACUGACGCUCAUGUACGAAAGCGUGGG
rnacentral:rRNA from 1 species